AUUGAACGCUGGCGGCAUGCCUUACACAUGCAAGUCGAACGGUAACGCGGGGCAACCUGGCGACGAGUGGCGAACGGGUGAGUAAUGCAUCGGAACGUGCCCAGUAGUGGGGGAUAGCCCGGCGAAAGCCGGAUUAAUACCGCAUACGACCUACGGGUGAAAGGGGGGGAUCGCAAGACCUCUCGCUAUUGGACCGGCCGAUGUCAGAUUAGGUAGUUGGUGGGGGAAAGGCCUACCAAGCCUACGAUCUGUAGCUGGUCUGAGAGGACGGCCAGCCACGCUGGGACUGAGACACGGCCCAGACGCCUACGGGAGGCAGCAGUGGGGAAUUUCGGACAAUGGGCGCAAGCCUGAUCCAGCCAUGCCGCGUGCGGGAAGAAGGCCUUCGGGUUGUAAACCGCUUUUGUCGGGGAAGAAAUCUUCUGGGCUAAUACCUCGGGAGGAUGACGGUACCCGAAGAAUAAGCACCGGCUAACUACGUGCCAGCAGCCGCCGUAA
rnacentral:rRNA from 1 species